AUGAACAACAACAACAACAACAACAAAAAGAAUGAGAGGAGGAGGAGGAAGAGGAGGAGGAGAUAUGCUGAAUGGCUACACCUAGAAAACGCUGUUCCCAAAGGUUAUUAAACAUGAAUCCAUUGCUAGGUAUGAAGUGCUUCCUGAUUAGCUCGUCAGGGAAACCAAACCCUGCAGGCACCUGCCAUUCCUCUUGAUUGUUCAACAGAGCUAGUUCAUAAGAUCCCGUUGCUGAAGACACCACACACCUUCAUUACAAGAUGUAGAGAGUUCAAGUCUCUCCCCCUGCUGGCCAGCUAUCCCGACUGGAAGGUGCUGUGCAGGCUCCUGGCUUUAAUGUGCUGUGACCCAUCACUCUCAACUAUGAUGCCUCUACCCUUCUGUGGAGCUUCUCCUGAUUCUCGCAAGUUGAAUCAAUGUGCCUUGCUGCCUCUGCCUUUAGAGACGUUUCUCGAUAAUGGCAACAGCUCAGCUCACUCGCCUGGUGUUUUUCGAUGUGAUCUCAUUAUGAGUACAGUCUGGACUUGAGUACAUCCUCCUCCUGCAUCUGCUCCUCUAGUGCUGGGUUACACGUGUGCAGCACAGCAUCUGUUUUUCAACUCUCUUCUUUAAUACCUAUACUGUUUAUUUAUAUUGCUAAUGGAAUAAGCAAUUGCUUCAUUGCUUACAAAAUGCCUUUUUUUGUUGUUUUUUUGUUUUGUUUUUGUUUUUGUAGUAAGCGUUGCACCUACAACCUUGUCUAUGCCAGGAAAGUGUUCUGCUAUAUCCCCAGCUUACUUGUAACAUUUUGUAGGGCAUGGGCCAUAUUUUAUUCAUCUUAUCUACAGUGUCUAAUACAGUGCCUGGAACAUAGAAGGCAUAAGAUGCAUUAUCUAAAUUGUUAAAUGAAUGAGGUGGUGUGUGUGUGUGUGUGUGUGUGUGUGUGUGUGUACACGAAACCCUUUCAAACACAUAAAAAUCUUGUUUGCAUGCUGGUUCUUUUAAUAUGUUUUUAUUUCUUGAAUUCUUACCACCCACCUGCUGCUUUUAUAUGUGUUUAGUUGUCAGUGUUUGUAGUCAGGGCUCUGCUUUGAUGAAAAGAAAAAAACAAAAAACAAAAACAAAACAAAACAAAACAAAAAACAAAAGCAAAACCCAGAGACAAACAGCUAUUAUCAAAGGGUAAAACCAUUAUUCUCUUAAGGGUUCUUAUUACAUGUGACAAAGACUUUCUCCCUAGCAACCACCAUUUGUCAUGUGGCUCUGUAUCUAGAGACUGGGUUCUGCCUUACUCAGCCUGUCAAACUGCAGGGAACGAUUACACUCUCCUUCUGUGAGUGACCGUUUCUCCCAUGUUUUUCCUCUAACUUGCAGGCUUUCUUCUUUUCAGCAACCCUAGCAUCUUACACAAGCAGACCUUCCUCCUCUUCACUUGGCCAUCUUGACACAGUCUGAUAGGUGCAUAAUCUUUCUUAGACCUGGAACUGGGCAGUGUGCCUAGGAUGUGUGGGACUCAUUUCAGCCCUCAGGAGGCACAACUGUUUGUCACAUCCAGCAUACCACGACUGGCUCUCUCAUGUGGUAUAAGCAGUCGGCAGAGUUUUGUUAUAUAAUUUAAUCAUUAUAUGCCACUCAGACUAUAUUAUUUUUCCUUUGAUAUGUGUUGUAAGGGAGAUGUUCAGAUUAGCAUUUGAGUCGGGCAUGGUGGCAAACACCUGCAAUCCCAGCACUUGGGAGGUACAGGUGAGAUCAGGAGUUCAAGGCUGUCCUUGGCUACAUAGUGAUUUAAGAAGCAGCCUUUUCAACAAAACCAAUCGGUGUUGGUUUAAAAAUCCUUCUGAAGCAUUGUUUCUGGUUUGCUGUUAGCUACGGCCUAAAAUCAUUUCAAAUCUAGAUGUCGAAUACCUAGCCACUUUACAUAGGAUAUGGUCAGAGCACAGAAUAAAUGUUAAUAUAACAAGUACUACACAGUGGAGUACGUGUGUACGCUGGUGGUGUUGUGUGGUAAUGUGGUAGGGUGUAUAUUUGGAACGGAAUGAAGGAGACCCAUGAUAAGGCUGGUUCAGGUUGGUUGGGGCCAGAGUGUUAAUUAAGGGAGAGCCUUGUUUGCCUUGAUAAGGAGGAGUUUGGUCAUCACCCCUGAGACAAUAGUAACUUAUGGUGGAUUUGCCGGCAGUGGAAGGGGAUUCUUGUUUAUUCUUAAAACAGUGUAGAGCGAAAACUGAAGACAAUCUCUCGAAGUAGACUGCCAGGCAAGGUAAAGGCCCAAGGUAAAAAUCCACAGGGUCAGAGAUGUACUUCUGUGAUGAAAAGGUUGCUUGGUAUGCAAAGACUCUGGAUUGGAGCCUCAAUAUUGCCCACAACAACAACUACGACUACAAAAAUAAAUGAAUAACUGAAAUUAAAUUGAAAGUGAGGAGAAGAAGAGCCCUCUAAUUCCAGCACUGGGGAGGCCGAGGCAUACGUUUUUGAAGUUCAAGGCCAGCUUGGACUUCACAGCAAUACAGUCUCAAAUAUUAAACAGAGAAAAAGGAGCGGACCUGGUUCUUUCCCGGGGCUACUGUGUAGCUCCUCACUUAGGUGGUUAAAUGCUU